rnacentral:rRNA from 1 species
UGGAUGACUCUCGGCAACGGAUAUCUCGGCUCUCGCAUCUAUGAAAAAAGUAGCGAAAUGCGAUACCUGGUGUGAAUUGCANAAUCCCGUGAACCCUCGAGUCUUUGAACGCAAGUUGCGCCCGAGGCCCUCCGGCUAAGGGCACGCCUGCCUGGGCGUCACGC